rnacentral:sRNA from 1 species
AGUAAAAUUACAUGUUAAUACGUAGUAUUAAUGGCGAGACUCCUGAGGGAGCAGUGCCAGUCGAAGACAGGGGCCCCAACACAGAAGCUGACAUAUAGUCAGCUUACAACAAUGUGCCGGUUGGGGUGGCUGAGACGGCACCCUAGGAAGGGACCCGUCAUCAAAAAUUCUAUUUAUAGAAUUUUACAGUAAUGUGCCAGACGGGCAAAGCGAAGCCAUUCAAUACGAAGUAUUGUAUAAAUAGAGAACAGCAG